CACACACACACACAUACUUUUGAACAGCUGGUGCUGGGCUGGCUGGCUACAUACAGCCAGGGGACAGAUAGCUGGCUGAGAGAGGGAAUGGGAGCACGUUGCUCAAUCAAUGAGCCAUCAAUCACACACUUACACACACACACGAACACAAAUGCAUACACACAGCAAGAAGGAGCAAAGACAUGAAACAGGAGACCAUAUCCUUUAACUACCACUCAAAAGAAAGCCAUCAAAGUGCUGGCUCUGGCUCCAGGCCUUUUUCCAUGGCCAAAUUUCCAGUCACUGCUUUGUCUUGUGGUGGUUUCAUUAGAGCUACUACUAGACUCCUCUGUGUGUGUGUAUGUGUGUGUGUGUGUGUAUGUGUGUUGCACCACAGCAGUUAUCUGCUAUCUAACUAGCUCACUGCUGCGGGGUUUCUUUUCUGCAUUCUGCUGAGCUCCCAGACAGCAAGAGGUUGUGAAAAGGCUGGCAAGGAGGCGGCAGCAAUCAUAUACUUCUCCCCUGUGCUGCCCCUGGAGCCCCCAGCAGAAGACGGUACGAGCAAGGAAAGGUCGAGGCCACGAGAUGAACGGUCCCACCUCUUGCUGGAAUGAGCCUUAAUUUGAUAGGGGUUGGGCUGAGCCAGGACUGUGAGAAGGAAGUCGCUCCUAUUGGAUCCAGAUGUGAGCGGAAGGACAGACAACAGCUCGACUGAAAGCCACCGGACAUGAUGUGGCAGACAAUAGAGGCCGUGGACAGCUGUUAAUCUAGUAACAUCUGGCUCCGUCAACCCACAUUUUUCUCUCCCAUAGUGAAUGGAUACGGACUAUUCUCAGAAAUGACAUGGUGAUCCCUUGAUCCGCUCUUGCAUCAGAUAUGUCUGGCAUGAGAUAGCUGAAGCUAGCACAGACGUGUGCACACACACAUACAAGCAUCAUUUGCGGUUAUGGGGCAUGAGACAUGAGGUCUCAACAGGAGCCAUUGUAGACUGCACUACCAGGCAGCCACACUGGGGCCCAAUCGCCCCUCUGAUAUGGCUCGAGUCUGAACACCUACGUCAGCCCACAAGCAGCCCGCGUGACGUCAAGCACAUGUGUGCUUUGACCAGAAGCCUGCACGAGUUGGUUUCACACAGAGAACGAAAAGGAGGACGGAAAGAGAAGAGAGCACAAUCUUGAUGUCUCAACUAUUUGUAGCCCCUAAAACAGAAAGUGAGAUCAGCUUUGAUUAGAACACGCAAAAUAAAACAGCAGUAUUAGUAUUUCGCAGCAAGCAUCACUGUCAGUCUAAUGGUAUAAUUAUACGUCUGCUCUCAAAUAACUCUGAGGCAUUCUUGGUGCCCACAGUAGGCCAAUGUUCAAAUAAAAUAGCACUCUCUGGUUGACCAGCAGCUGCUGGCUUAUAUAUAAAGAGAAGUGAUACAGAUGCCAAAGGAGACAGCAAUAAAAGUAAAUCAUUUCACCAGUCAAGGGUACAUCAUGUCAGAUCGAAUGGGCAGAUUUCUUGGAAUAAAAAAAAAAAUCAGACCUUUGUAAGUCAAUAUUGCCCUUUGUUCUUUGUGCUUCUUGUGUAAUACAAUGUUGUAUUCUGUUUUCUGCGUCAGCGCAAGGUAACGGAAUAUAACAGUCGUGUCUGGUGUUGUAUUACAUUAGCUAAUAAAUGACAUCCUGAUGCUGAGUUAACUUUGUUGUCUGUUUGG